UUCAGCCCGCAUAAGGAGGCUUAAAGCUGUGCCUAGGACCCCAGCUCAGGCACCGAACAACAGGGUUGUCAGCCUCUGCACCACAGCUGAUCCUCAGGAGACCCAGUCUCAGUUUCGGCCCUUCUCACUGCAGUUGCAGAAUCUAUUCCACCUGUGAAGUGACCUGCUGAGAAACAAGCACCCAUCUGAACCAAUGAGAUGUGCUGGGGCUGAACAGCCUCUAUGUAACAGCAGAUCCUGAGGGGGACAGUCUCAGCUCUAGCCCUUCUUUCUGCAGUUGGGAAACCUCUCUGCCCCUGCAAGGAACUACUAGAAGGCACAUCCAUGUAGGCCAUCUGGGCACACUCACUAGCUUUCAUCCCACAGCACAUCUUGGUGGUCCAGUCCUGGCUCAGGGUACUCUCUCUGCAGUCCCAACUGUGCAGAGUAAUCCUGGGAGACACUCCAGUUUGGGCCCUGGGACAGGCUUACAGGCAAGGGUCCUGGCCAGCCUAGGUACCCUCCUUGUUCUUCCCCAGGUGAUAAAACCCAGAUGGAAGAACCAUGCCAAUCUCGGAGCCCUAGCAAGAUUCACAAUACACAUGGGCUUAGAGCACCCUCCAGUGCUGAGACAGCUGCAGUGUCCGUGGGCUCAUGGAACAUAACAGUCUGCUUAGAACCUCUGGAAGACCCACCGAAGAAGGUCAGACACAAACAAAGCCAGAAUAUGAAUAUUAAAAUAUGGAAUCCCUCCAUGUGGAGAACAUAUUGCAUGUCCAUAAGCAUAAAGAACUUUCAGAGAAAUGUGACCUCACCAAACAUACAGAAUAAGGAGUCAGAGACUGACCUUAAAGGUAUGAAGAUAUGUGAUCUUGCAAACAAAGAAUUCAAAAUAGCUGUUUUAAAGAAGUUCAGUGAGUAUCAAGGAAAUACAGAGAAAUUAUUCAAGAUUAUCAGAGAAAUUUAUCAGAGAUAUUGAAAUAAUUUUUUUAAAUUUAACAGAAAUCCUGGAGUGAAAAAUACAAUGACUAAAUAAAUAAUGCAAUAAAGAGCAUCAACAGCAGAAUUGUUCAAACAAAAGAAAGAAUCAGUGGGCUCAAAGACAAAAUAUUUGAAAAUACACAGAGAAGAAAGAAAAAAGGAUAAAAAAGAAGAGAAAAAGCUUAUGAAAUCUAUGGUGCCACAUCAUAAAAGCAAAUAUCUGUGUUAUUGGAUUUCAAGGUGGAGCUAAGAAAGACAAAAGAGUAGAAUUAUUAUUUCAAGAAAUAUUAGAAAGCUUUCCAAACCUAGAGAAAUGUAUAAAUAUCCAGGUCAGGAAAAUCAAAGGUCAGUAAUCAGAUUUAACCCAAAUAAGACUACCUUGAGACAUAAUCAAACGCUUAAAGAUCAAAGACAAAGAGAGGGUCCCAAAAUCUUCUGAGAGAAAAGAGGUAAAAAACAUAUAAUGUAGCUCCAAUACAUCUGGCAGCUGACUUCUCAGCAGAAAACUUGCCAGCCAGGAGGAAUCAUUCAGAAUGAUGAAGAAGGGGAAAGAAGCUUCAACCAAGAAUUCUGUACCCAACAGAGCUAUCCUUCAGAAAUGAAGAAAAGAUAAAUAUUUUCCCAGACAACCAAAGUUGAAGUAAUUCAUUACUACUAGACAUGUCAUACAAGAAAUAACGAAGGAGGUCUUCAAACUGAAAGAAAUGCACACUAACCUGUUACAGAAAAACAUUUGAAGCUGCCUGGAGCUAUGGGAGGGGCAAUAAAAGGACUGCUGUGGCCACCACAACUGGGACUGCACUGUGUCAGAUCUGAAGCGAGCACAGCCCUGAGUCUCAUCCAGAGCCCAUUAUAACCAUUGCUUGGCCAACAUCUAUGUUUGUUCAAACCUCAGCGCUCUACAGUCAGCAGAUGGCAAAGCCAACAAGGCUUUUCUCUUUCCCUUUAGGGUGGAAAGUUUCCCCCCAGCCCAGUAGAAAUGGGGUUUCACCGUGUUGGCAUGCUGGUCUCAAA